UACGGAGGGAGCUAGCGUUGUUCGGAAUUACUGGGCGUAAAGCGUGCGCAGGCGGUGAUGUAAGACAGUUGUGAAAUCCCCGGGCUCAACCUGGGAACUGCAUCUGUGACUGCAUUGCUGGAGUGCGGCAGAGGGGGAUGGAAUUCCGCGUGUAGCAGUGAAAUGCGUAGAUAUGCGGAGGAACACCGAUGGCGAAGGCAAUCCCCUGGGCCUGCACUGACGCUCAUGCACGAAAGCGUGGGGAGCAAACAGG
rnacentral:rRNA from 1 species